rnacentral:miRNA from 1 species
GGUGUAGCUCCGAUGGUAG